CCCCUGCCGCAGCCCCCCCACCCCGGGGCGCUCCCCUCGCUCCCCCCCGCGCUGGACAAGAAGGCAAGAAGGCGGCGAAGAAGAUGAAGAAGAGGAUGAAGAAGGCUCACAAGAGGCACAAGCGCUCUUCGUCCUCGUCGUCGUCCUCCUCCUCAGCAGCUCCGACUGAUGCUCCUGGGACCCCCCAGGACCCCGGGACCACCAGGACCGCUCGGGACCCCCCAGGACAACCAGGAGCCAUCUGGGACCUCUUGGGACCCUUGUGACCCACCCGGGACCACCCCAAGACCACCCGGGACCCACCAGGACCCCCAGGAGCAGCCGGGGCCCCCUCCCCUGGUGCCGGGGGGGUCCCGGGGUGCCCCCGCUGUCCCCCCAAUAAAGCUCUAGGACACCCC